AUACGUAGGGGGCAAGCGUUAUCCGGAAUCACUGGGUGUAAAGGGUGCGUAGGCGGCAAGGCAAGUCAGAUGUGAAAGCCCGGAGCUCAACUCCGGGACUGCAUUUGAAACUGCUUUGCUAGAGUGCAGGAGAGGAAAGCGGUAUUCCUAGUGUAGCGGUGAAAUGCGUAGAUAUUAGGAGGAACACCAGUGGCGAAGGCGGCUUUCUGGACUGUAACUGACGCUGAGGCACGAAAGCGUGGGGAGCGAACAGGAUUAGAUACCCUGGUAGUCCACGCUGUAAACGAUGAGUGCUAGGUGUCGGCCUGUAGAGGGUCGGUGCCGAAGUUAACACAUUAAGCACUCCACCUGGGGAGUACGAUCGCAAGAUUGAA
rnacentral:rRNA from 1 species